rnacentral:tRNA from 1 species
GGAGAGGUGUCCGAGCGGUCGAAGGAGCGCGCCUGGAAAGCGCGUGUACGGUUUAUGCCGUACCGAGGGUUCGAAUCCCUCCCUCUCCGCCA